CAUGGCUGUCGUCAGCUCGUGUUGUGAAAUGUUGGUUAAGUCCCGCAACCGAGCGCAACCCUUAUCCUUUGUUGCCAGCGAGUAAUGUCGGGAACUCAAAGGAGACUGCCGGUGAUAAACCGGAAGAAGGUGGGGAUGACGUCAAGUCAUCAUGGCCCUUACGAGUAGGGCUACACACGUGCUACAAUGGCAUAUACAAAGAGAAGCGAACUCGCGAGAGCAAGCGGACCUCAUAAAGUAUGCGUAGUCCGGAUUGGAGUCUGCAACUCGACUCCAUGAAGUCGGAAUCGCUAGUAAUCGUAGAUCAGAAUGCUACGGUGAAUACGUUCCCGGGCCUU
rnacentral:rRNA from 1 species